AUACCGCGUAUACCCUUACCUUCUUCAACCUUACGGAAGCCCUAAUUUCACCCUUUUAUCUCCUAUCCUCUCACACAAUAUAUGUACACGAGUCUCCCUCUGCGUUGUAAGUCUCAGAAUCUAUACUCACGGUGGUUGAUUGACUCUCUUUUCCAGCGCCGACGAUAGAUUCUCCUCAAGCUCGAUGUCCUUCUCUGCUCUUCAUUGUCGAUGACAUCUCUGUUUUCUUUCAAUGGUUUUCACCACGUCAAAUGGCAUCUGUGAUCCGGUAUCCUGGAAAUCAAAAUGCAGAGAGAUUAAAGAGCCACUAUAUUAAGCUCUGUUUUGCUCCGAUUGCAAAGGAAUUUACAUUCUCGUCAACAAUGAACUUGGGGAUGACGAAGAUUUCACGAACGAGGACAGAUUGUUGCAUAGCUUGAAGGAGUGUUUGUUGGAAUAUGACAACAACAAGGCUUGAGACUAAUCUAGAACAUUCACAGAUGCAACACGAAUUACCUUGGUUCAACCCCAAUAUGGAACCAUCAUCCAGCUAGAGCUCGUCCACAAACGAGUUCUUGAAUCCACUAUGAACAGUAACAAUACAAACCCAGUCAAGACAAUUUGUUCUUGACAACUCUCACAAAUCUCUCAAAUACUAUGUGAACAAUCACUCUUUUGAAAAGACAA